UUCUCGAAUUUAAAAGAGUUAAUUAAUUAAAAAAUUUAUUGUAGCAAAAAUAUUUUUCAUAAUUAAUUAGAAAUGAAAUGUUAAUCGUUUUUAAAUAUAUCUAGUUUUUUUAGAAAAAAAUUUAAUUUUAAACUAAAUUAAUUAAAAAAUUAAUUAAAAAAUUUUUUAAAAUUUAAAUUUAAUAUUUUAAGGGAUAAGCUUUAAUUUAAAAUAUUUAUAAUUAAAUAUUAAAUUUUUUGAAAAUUUUAAAAUUUAUAUUGUUUAAAAAUUAUAAUUUUUUAUAAAUAAUUUCAUAAAAAAUAAAAUUUAAUUUUAAUUUAAUUUUUUAUAAAAAAAAUAAAAUUUAAAAAAAUAAUUUUAGUUAUAAUGAUAAAAUUAGUAUAUAAAUUUUAUUUAAUUAAUAUUAUAAAAUAUUUUUAAAUGAAAAAUUAAUUAUAAGGAAUUCGGCAAAAAUUUAUAUUCACUUGUUUAUCAAAAACAUGUCUUUUUGAAAUAAUUUAAAGUCUAAUCUGCCCACUGAUGAAAAUUGAAGGGCUGCAGUAUUUUGACUGUACAAAGGUAGCAUAAUCAUUAGUCUCUUAAUUGGUGACUUGUAUGAAAGAUUGGAUGAGAUAUAAGCUGUCUUAUUUUUAUUUAUAGAAUUUAAUUUUUU
rnacentral:rRNA from 1 species